rnacentral:rRNA from 1 species
GACGAACACUGGCGGCGUGCUUAACACAUGCAAGUCGAACGGUAAGGCCCUUCGGGGUACACGAGUGGCGAACGGGUGAGUAACACGUGGGUGAUCUGCCCUGCACUUCGGGAUAAGCCUGGGAAACUGGGUCUAAUACCGGAUAGGACCCUGGGAUGCAUGUCCUGGGGUGGAAAGCUUUUGCGGUGUGGGAUGGGCCCGCGGCCGAUCAGCUUGUUGGUGGGGUGAUGGCCUACCAAGGCGACGACGGGUAUCCGGCCUGAGAGGGUGACCGGCCACACUGGGACUGAGAUACGGCCCAGACUCCUACGGGAGGCAGCAGUGGGGAAUAUUGCACAAUGGGCGCAAGCCUGAUGCAGCGACGCCGCGUGAGGGAUGACGGCCUUCGGGUUGUAAACCUCUUUCAGCACCGACGAAGCGCAAGUGACGGUAGGUGCAGAAGAAGGACCGGCCAACUACGUGCCAGCAGCCGCCGUAA